rnacentral:rRNA from 1 species
UAUUCCCAAACAACUCGACUCGUCAGAAGGGCCUCACUGCUUCCGCCGGCAUCCCACGGGGCUCUCACCCUCCUGGGCGCCCUGUUCCAAGGGACUUGGACACCGCCUUCCACACAGACUCCAACCUGCAAUCUACAACUCGUGCCGCAAAGCACGAUUUCAAAUCUGAGCUCUUGCCGCUUCACUCGCCGCUACUGAGGCAAUCCCUGUUGGUUUCUUUUCCUCCGCGCUUAUUGAUAUGC